AAUUUCUACAUGCCAUCGUACUAGAUUUAAACUGAUGAUCUAAUAUCCGGAAAAUUCCCAAAUCCGGAAUCACCGAAGUCCCAACAAGUCCAGAUUUCGGACUUUGUACUGUACAGUUUUUUUCCUCAUUGCUGGAAAGCAAAGGAGAGGAUUUGAAAGAAGUAGGAUAUGAUCAUCUCACAGUUAACUACAAAUACAGUUUCGUAGACCAAAAACUGGAUGUCAUACCCAAACAGUUGAAAGUAUGUGGAGCAGCACAAAAUGACGUUAAAUGCCAAUAUAGUACCAUACACCACCAUCUUGAAUCAUUAGAGUUUAUGUAGCAACAGUUAUAUUAAAAAAAAAAGAAUUUCUUUCCAAACUAUUAGGCAUCUCUAAACUCAUGAUCCCUGUUCAAGUUUAAAUUGCAUUUCAUUUAUAAUGUAUUUAAAAUUUAUUAAUACUGUUAUAAUAAAAAAUAUGUUUUUCGUGGCACCCGUAUGACAGAAAAGUACCUAUGAUAAUAAUUAGGCAUAACACAGUUUUAAUUAUAAAAUUUCCAUAUUGUUAAAAUUUUAAGUUUAAUUAAAUAAACUUAAAUAGUUUUAAACUUUCUAAAUAUAUUGUAAGUUGCUGGAGAUAAUCAUAUUUAUAUACCAGUGUUUCUUUAAAUUUUUUAGUUAGGUAUUUCUGCGAAGAUACUUAUUGGUGGAAAGGUAAGACUCGAAAAAAGAAGAACAAACUCAUGGAAUGCAUGCAUUGUGGUUACACUUGUGGUUACCCUAAAGAUUUGAGAAGACACAUUUUGACCCAUACUGGAGAAAGACCUCAUACCUGCACUACCUGUGGAAAAAAAUUUGUUUUAUCCCAUCACUUGAAAAAGCAUUUGAGAAGUGUUCAUUUGUUAGAUAUUUGAAAAUAUUUGUUUUUAAAGUAUGGAUUUUGGUAUAAAUUUAUAGAUUUGUUUUUCAUAAAAUAAAAUUAAUUCUAGUUAUAAUUCAAUACAUUAAUCUCUUAAUUUUUACAUUUCACAUUAUUUCGUACAAACAGAUUAACUGUUGCACAUGAAAUGAGUUUUAUAGCAUACAUCAUAAAAUUUUGUGUUUAUUUAGUUACAAGCAGUCUAGUCACACAUUAUACAAUGCCCUCGCAAAUUAAAGUAUCAGAAUGCUGGUUUGAUGAAUCUUUCUGUGUAGUAUAGUGCUGAAAUUGUACUAAAACAUUUUAUUCUUAUUUUAUUUAACAUUUACAGUUACUUGGCAAUAUAUUGUAUUCUUGUGAAAAACUAAUAUUACUAACACCUUCAAUGUUUGGUAUAUCCCAUAUAUCCAUGAUUAAUCUAGUAUAAACAACAACAACAACAAAAAAAAAAGGUCCUUUGUUAAAUUUGCAGCUUACAUUCCGAAAACUUAUUGAUGCAGAACCAUUGUAAUAGUCCUUAAUUUGCCAAAGUUGGCAACUAUUUGCCCUUCUUUGGUACAUUUUGGCUUUUUCUUUAUUAACACGCAAGUACUUGUUGUUAUUUAUGAAUGGUUCCAGAAAUUAUUCUUGAAAUUACUUCAGAUAUUUUAAGUGCUUUCUGAUUAUCUUUAACCCCUUCCUGAAAAGUUGCUGAUUUUUUUUAUAACCUACCAAUUACAAAAUUAAAAAUGUAAGAAACUUCCAUAAUAAAGUACUUUCUUUUUGUGCUUUCUUCCAACAUACACGGCAUAUUUUAGCUUCAGAAAACAUCUGAGAAUUUCAAAGCUUGGCACCACAGCACACAGUGAUCUGUUUUCACUUAAAAAGAAUAUGGUUAUUACACACUGUUUCUGCAUGUACACAAUGAUCACGUUUCAUUUAAAAUUUAUCAGAUAAUUGCACAAAUUUUGGUCAGUAAAAUUCAAUCAUUUAUGAAAUACAACUUCAUAGAAUGAAAAUGUUUGCAUUCUCUGUUGUUAGGCAAAGUACCAUAUUUUUAGAAACACAAUACUUUUAUUUUCAUCAGCUGGCAAAAUUCACCUUAUGAUUUAAAAAAAUACUAAUGCCAUCUUCUCAUCUGCUGCAUGCAUACACAUACAUGGGUUUCAACAUAAAUACAUUCUGGCAACAUAUGGUUUUGGCUUUUAAGUGCUGUUCAGAGGUUACAGAUAAUCAGAAAGUACCUUCACCUGACACCUGUUUAAAAGUCACUUUUCAUUUCUUAACUUUUAUUUCAGUAACAUGAAGAUCAGUGAGCAUAUAAAUAUAUGAGUACUGUUAAAAAAAAAAAAAAAAAAAAAAAAAGACCGAACAUCUUUAUAUUGCAUGCCAACAACUCUAGAUGGCCUAUUGUGGCUAUUGUCUGUGCCUAAAGUCAUAUUAUGAUAACAUAUUGCCUAUUACUAAAUUCUGAUUUAUGCGCUUGUUGUCAAGUAAUUACCAGAUGGAAUGAGGUUGUAUAUAAACUGCUUGUUUGGUUAGUGAAAAAGUAAAAAUAAAAAAGUUGGAGGUACAACAUGGCUGUGUGAAAGUUUGCAUAAAACUGGGAAAAAUUUUCACAAGAUCAUUCCAAAUGUUCAAUCAAAUACACAAAAGAUGACACAAAAUUGAACACUGUCUAUGAUUGGUUUCAGUGUUUUAAGUAGGAUAGAAGAUUGGUUGCCAGAGACUCAAGGAUUGGAUCAGAGCUGGAUUAAUUAUAAAAAUACACAUGUACUUAGGGCACUAAGGGAGAGGAGCACUACAAAAAUUCUUUAGGAAGGGGGUAUUACAAAAAUUUCUCAUUGCCUUUUUACUGUGGAAUAUGUACACUGCAGGUAAACAAGACCAAAAGAAGGAAAGCAAAAAAGCAUGCAUAAAUUUAUGUGAGGCAUCUAAAAGUUAGCGGCCUUGGACUGGGCAACAAUUCAAUGUCAACAGAUUAAUAUGUUCAGAGUUCACCAGAAAUGUGUACUAUGUGGUCAGAUGCUAAACAAGGAAGUCAGACAGAGAAUUUUAACAUGGUUGAGAGAUGCUGUAUAUAGGAAGAUAACUGAACUGUGAGAGGAAUCAGUUGUGGAUGUUGCAUCAUGAAUAUCCUUCUGCUCAUUCAUUACUCCUUAUUGCCAGUUAUCUGACAAAACAUUGUACUUUCAUUGUGCCCCACCUAUCCUAUUGUGCUGACAUGGUUCUGUACAAUUUUUUCCUCUUUCUCAAACUUAAAACCACUUUGAAAGGGCAUCAUUUCCAAUCCAUAGGAAAUUUAAAAAUAUUGCAUCAAAAAAGUGAUUUCCAGCAGCCAUUCCAGAAGUGGGAAAGGUGUAUUGCCACUACAGGGAAGUAUUUUGAAUGGGAUAUUGGUUGAAAGCUUGUAAAAUUAGCAAUAAAACAAUAACGGCAAAAAUUUGGUCUUUUUUUUUUUUUAAAACAGUGCUUGUAUUUUCCCCAAAAAUUUCAGGAAGGAGAUAAGAAGUGUUACUUUGUGGUACGAAGUGAAGCAAUUAAAAUGUGCAGCAGUUAAAUGAAAAUGUAGGUUUAAUUUUGAAAAAAAUGUUCAGGAGUUUUAGAAAAAUAUGUGUGUUCAUGGAUUAUGAAGAAAUGCAUUAAGUUAUUACAAAAGAAGUAUACAGUUUCAGUAUUUAAUAUAAAAAGCACUUGUGAAAUGUAUGAAAAAAAUUUGAAAGGCUGUGUGCAUGAGCCUAAAAGUUUUUUCCAGUAUUCUGUCUGAUAAUGCAUUCUCAUGCAGUCAUGGUGUGUCUUGUUACCUUGUUACUCAGUAAAUAAAAUGGCUACAUUUGCAGUGAAGAAUACAAUAUAUUUUAUAAUACAGCAGAAAGGAAUCCUUUAUUGUGGUCCAAUAAAAAUUUCAGUUAGAGUUCAGAAAGUUACUUUCAAACAGGAAAUCUGUCUACAAUAAUAUGAGAAAUUUAAAAGUGAGGUUUGCUUUUGCUGUCUUGGACAACUUCCAUAUCUGAAGGACAAGUUGCAUGUGUUCACAGUGCCUUCCAAACUGUAAGGAAUUGAGGGUGCAUUUUCAGAGAUUCCAUAGCUUACUGUUUGGAAAAUUUUAUGAAAGGUUCUAAAAUACAUUUCAUGCAAAUCAUACUCUCUAAGUGAAGUUGAAACACGAUACUGAUAUAAAUUACAAAACAAGAACUUCUCUGCUGUGAUCUGAUUAUUUGUCAACUGAGUUAAAUGAGGAAUAGCAAUUGCAUACAUCACUGUACAGAAUGCUAGGGCAAAAAUUCAUAUCUGCAUGCACAUAUCCCUUCAAAUUUCAUUUCAACAUUUUUCUUUUUAUUAUUAUUGAAAUAUAAUACUUUUGUACGAAGUGCACAUCAUAAUAACACUGUGUAUGUACAUAUAAUGUAAAUUUUUUUAUUCAACCAUUAGAACUGAUUGUAUUAAGUAGUAGCACUGACUGAUUCCAAAUGUUACAUGGAUGUAAAAAUAUCAAAUGCAAAAAAGGAUUAGCAAAAGAAUAUUUUUAAUUUAUUAUUUUGUAUAGUUCCCACUAAAUUUACUGCAACUUUUAGCAUUUUGUUUAAUUCAUAGAUUUAAUUGAUCUUAUUUCAUUUACUAAUCAGGAAUUAAAAGUGUUAAUGUAUCUAUUUUAAAAACUCAGUCAGUGCAUUUCAAAAAAUAAAACUAUGGCAUCUUCCCCCCCCUUUUUUUUCAGGGACUACUUAAAUUAUGUUACUUUCAGUUCGGUAUCGAAAGUUUGAAAUAGUAUGUUAAAAAAUAUAAAGGGGCUAUUUUAGGUAUAUUUCAAGGUUCUUUAUUAAUAAGAAAUAUAAAAAUUAUCUUUUGCUUUGUAAUGAAGUUUUUGAAUGUACAAAACAUAGCAUCAAACAAAAUUUAUCGUCAUUUGUGUCUAAUAUAUGGACCAGAUGUCACAAGUAAGCAGAUGAUGCAUUGCAGGUACAAUCAGCUUUCAGGUUAUCAAAAUACGCAUGAUGAGUGCAGUGGGCAGCUAGUGGUUGAAUAAAUGCAACAUAGUAUUUUAGAGAACCAUUACUUUAUGUUUAUUUAACUCUGCAGCCAUUUUCCUCAGCUUUUCUGCUGCUUGUUGCAUGAAAUUUUCAUCAAUUGCCUAUUUUUCCAGAAGUUGUGCACAAGGUGGCUGCUGAAGGAACUGACAUCUGAGCAUAAAUCUAAGUGGAUGAGCUUGUAUUGACAUUUCAGCAAUGAUACCAUAGUGAUGGUGAUAAGCUUCUGAACUAGAUCAUUACUGUUGAUGAAAUAUAAGUGAUACACUUACAGAAAAUUAAACAACAAUCAAUACAGUAGUGUCAUAAUGCAUCUCUUAUACAGAUGAAAUUGAAGCGGACUGUAUUGGUGUGGAAAAUGAUAUGCAUAGUGUUUUGGAACAAGCAGGCUGUUCUACUCACUGAGUUCCUGAUCAGAGGGAAAAGUAUGAAUGUUGAUGAUUACUGUGAAAAACUGCAAAAAUUGUGACAGGUUGUUGGAAACAUGAUGUGGUGCACUUAAUGUGUGCAUUGGCUCAUAUAGCUCUUUGCCCAACAAUUCUAGAAGAGUUCUGCUGAGUCAUCUUUGAAUACCUGCCAUAGAUCUUACUUCCAACGAUUUCCACCUUUUUUUAUACCUCAAAAAAUUCCUGUAGUCAGCAUUUUCAAAGUGAUAUAAGUAUGCAGAUGGCUGUCGCACGUUCUGAUGCAAGAUGACAGAAUAUGUAUCAUCAUGCAUCAGUUGAUGGCAAAUGUUGCAGCAAUUCAAAGUUGAUACUACAAAUAUGACAUUUGUCUUUAAGACAUUUGUCUUGUAUUAAGACAUUUGUCUUAAUUCUGAAAGGAAUGAUGCGGAAAAAUUAUUGGAAAUUGCUGUAUCUGUUGCAAAAUCUUCCUGUGAGAUUAUUUACUUUAUGUAGAUAAUACCAAGAAAUUUGCUUUCUGAAGCCCCUGUUUAAAAUUUUAUAUUAGAAAUUAAUUUUCAGGUUUCUGCAAAAAAUAUAUGUACUACCAGCAUAAAACUGAACAAAAUGAAUUUAAAAAAAAAGUAUUUUUAAGAGAUACACAUAAUUUAUUAGUAUGUUGUUGUAAUGAUGGAAUUUUUUCCCAGUAAUCAGUUUUUACCAUUUUAUGUCAUCUUUGUUUGCAGCAUAAGCAGUAGAAUACACAUAUAGUAAGCAUAAUGUAUUAACUCAGUGAAAUAAGCCCAAAUCUGACCGCCAUUUUUAAUUUUAGUUUUACAUCUUUGCUACAUAUAGUUGAUGUGUGUGGCAAGUAUGUAGUGCUUUUCUGUGCUAAUACACUUUAUAAACACAUCAUAAAUAAUUCUGUGUUUUUAGAUAUUUAUAACAUAAAAAGGACUGGGUUGGAGAGAAACAUGCUACAGUUCGAAAUGUUUUCAUCAACUAAGCAAAGAGGCUGCCAGUUAAUGAUAACACUAAAUUUUUGUUGAAAGAAAACAAAGUGUAAAAUGUGAUAAAAUAGAUAUAAGAAGGAAUAAAAGGAUAAUUUUCUAAUUAAAAAUAAGAUUAAAAGGUCUUGAAUGAAAUUAAAAUUUUGUCUUUCAUACAUGUACAGACAUAUAUACCAUUGUUUGGUAAAAAUUAACACAUGAAAGAGUUAUCAUAUCGAACAGAAAUCGGGCAUACAGGUUCACAAAAUGCAAAUGAUUACAAGUUCAGCUGCAUAUACAAAUAGGAUGUGUGUGUGUGUUUGGUUAAAAGUUAAUUCAGUAGAUAUAAAAUGCACUCCUUAACGAUGUAUUUGAUUGAUAUUCGUUAUAAAUACGUAGAAAUUUGUCUUGGCACAAAAGACAUUAUGAAAAAUUAGAAGAGGAAGAACUAACAGAUUGAGAAAAGUGAUUUGCUGCUCAUUUUAGUCAAAGUGCUAGUUUAGUUAUGUGUAAGUGUAAGAAGGUUCAACACAUCAACAAGGAUUAUGAAGGAAUAUAACUGCUUUAGAAUGAAAGCCAAUCACAUAGUACAUAUACAUGGCUGGAGAGGAUUCAUAGUAGUAAAGGAUGGUGUACCAGGCUGUGUUUUGCAAGAAAUUUUUGUUUAUGAUUCCUGUAGUGAAAGUUCAUUGGUUGGAAUCUAUUAUCAUGACUUCAUGUUUAGAGCUGUAGAUGUCAGCAAAUUCAUUGGUUCAAAAAACAAGGAAAACUGAAGUACUAAAAGGAUGUAAAUAAUUUUUUUCAUUAAGUCUUUAUGCAGUCUCAUAACUGAUGAUGAUGGACUAUUAUUUUCCAUUACAGGGAAAACUGAAUCCAAAAGGCUGUGAUAAAGAGUAUCAUAUUGAUCUUUGCUGGAAUGUUGUUUGAGGUGAUAUUAUAUUUAAUUCUUGCCGUUGUCUUCUAUGUAUCACUGGUACUGUAAACAGUCAGCAGCAUAUCAGUGAGAUCCUGGAAUUAGAAAUUCUGUCACUUUUUCAUAGCUAACUUUUAACAGGAUAAUGCUACCAGCCCCAGCCAAUUAAAAAAAAAAAAAAAAAAAAAUUGCAUGCAGUAUUCAAUAUUUUGCUUUAUAACAGGCAGGCAUAUACCUAUUUGUCUUUCACAUACACAGUUGCAUAUUUCAAAUAUUUGGAUCAAUAAUAUGGAAGUUUUUGGAUUAUCUCCCAGCAAAAGAAAUUGUGAAUAUGAAUAAAAAUAGCGACUAUUAAUAAAAUAGUUAAGUAAAAUUAAUAAAGAUAUGUUUUUAUGAAAAGAUUCAUUAAAUGCCAAUUUUAAGUCUAGAAUUACAAAGUUUCAUUAUAUAUAUAUAUAUUGUAUUUCCUUGCAAAAUUUUCCCCUAACUUUUUAACAUCAGAUUUUGAAAAUUUUUAAAAAUAUUCAUGGAAUUUUUCCCUUCUCUAAAUGUGUUCAAAAUGGAUUUGUUCAUGAAGUGAUUGUCUUCAUUUUAUUAACAAAGACAAACCAGUGUAAGUUCCCUGUGAAGGUCACAGUGAAACAAGUAUGGGCUAUCAUUUACUUUACAGUUUAGCUGAAUCAACUGCACAUUCACUUUCUGUAAUUAUUGAUGGAUGAUCUGAGGCUAAGGAAUAGCAGAGACAACAAUAAGAAGGGACAAGAUUCAAGUUACUGAGAGAUUACAUGCCAACAAAAAGGAAGCGUGUUGUUUUGACUAUGAAGGACAAAAUUAAUAUUAUUAUCAGAUUGAAACAAGGUGAAAGUGGAUCUAAACUUGCAGAUGAAUAUGGAGUUGGGAAGUCAACAAUUUCAGAUAUAAAGAAAAAUUCAGAAUCUAUUUUAAAGUAUGUCUCUGAUAGUGAAGAUGAUAGUUUGUUGAGAAAAACGAUGCGAAGAAUUGAUUAAAGAAAGAUUGUCUGUUCAUAGGUUUUCAAAACAUUUUUUAUGAUAAUUGAUUCUGGAUUUUGAAUGUAUUUGAGUGAGCAUUAAUAUUUAAUGAGAAAUAGGAGGAUAUUUAUAAGACACAUAACAGCUAGCUUGGACAUUUUAAAGUCCAGAGUAGAAAGGAUUAAGCAUAUUAAAGAAUCACUAAGAGAAUAGCAUUCAACUUGGAUCGGGAUUUUUUUUUACAAGGGAAAUAUCAAUCUCUCUCUGUAAUUGUGUUUUAUUUAAAAAAUAAAAUGCAUUUUAUCUGAACUAUGAAACUAAUCACUUUCAAAAUAUAACACAUAGAUUACAUACAUUUAGCUCAUCUUUGUUUUCAAACAGUUGUAUUUUUGAAGUAAAUUUUCAUAGAUCUUGCACUAAAUAAUGAAACACAGGUUUUAAUUUUUUUAAUUUAUUGUUUUUUCUCUAUUUUAUAAAAUAAACACCAUUAAAACCUUGUUACAAAAUAAACACCUUUAAAAUAUUCUUGUACUAAAAUAAUUUAUCCAAAAAAUGUUCAUCAGCAACUGACAUAACAAUUUGGACACUCGAAAGGUCUCUGGAGAUAUUUCUAGUAACAUUUUUUGUUUUAAAUGAAAAUACAUCGCACAAACUAUUGUCUGCAUGUGGAAAUUAUUAUUUGCUUAGCAAAAUGUAUUAACAGUUCCAAAGCUGAUGGAACAUGGCAAAAUGCUACAAUUUAAUAACGAAUUUUGUUAGAAAUUUAACAAUUCAUCAUUUAAAGAUGGUAAAGUAUUCAGAAUACCCACCCCCCCAAAAAAGAAAUUCUGAAUGUAAAGUGUUCAAUGGUUUUCUUAUGGUAUAUAACAAUGGAAAUUUUGUGGAACUGCUGAAAAUGCACUGAAGUUUGGACCACAUUUUGGCCAAUACUAAGGAAUCUCAAAUUUAUCCUUUGAAAAAUCAAACAACACCCUAAAAUUAGUGCUGUAAAACUUGCUGGGGAUAUAAAAGAACGCUUUUCAAAACAAGUUAAUUUUGAAACUCUUAGAAAAGACAUUAGGGCACAUAGAUGCAAUGGAUGGUCAGCAUGGAGGAAAUUCUUUGUCAAAAAGAAAACAAGGAAAAUAUACCUGGAUUUUGCAGAAUCCAUGGUAAACAAAGAUUUUUUAUAUUAAAAUGAUACUAUAUUUGCAGAUGGACAAGUUACUCUGUGGUGAAAGCCACAUGAAGAAUUGAAUUAAAAAACCUGUUGCCUGCUUUUAAGCAGUGCAUUUUGAGGAAAGGGUGCCUGGACCUGGCAUUGCUCGAGGCAGCCUUACACGGUUAAUUGCCCCAACCUCAAAGAGGCAUACCCCCCAAGUCAACCCAGCGGUACAAUUUUUGUUUCACAAAGUCUGGGUUUUAGUACACAGAGUCAGUGGUGGAUGGUUAUGCAUCUACCUAAAAUUAAAGUCCACUUGUUUGACAUCAACUGUCCUAGUGUUGACCAAGGAGAGCCAAACCCAUGCAGUGUCUUUACAACCAAGGGGCAGACAAGCCAGUACCAUAUGGUCCCUGCCGAGCCUGAACCUACCACCGAAUAAAUGAUGAUUCCAGUUACUGUCAAGACUGUUAAUUUUUCCCAGGAGUCUGUCUAGAUAUCGACCUAGCCAGAAUGCUGGGAUUGCUCCCAGUCGACCCCCAGGGAGAAAGCCUGCUUUUAACCUUCAAAAACUUACCGGAAUAGUAACCAUUUGUCUAUGAGUCGAACAGUGCUUAAGCGUGUUUAAAAUCUAUUUUAAAAGUUAAUUAAAAUAAAAGUAUACUACCCGCAGAUGAUUUCAGAACUCUGAAACUUCAAGGUAGCAAGGAAGUAUCAUUUAUUUAUUCUUAAAGCAGUCUUUACACAUACUAGCAUGUUGUUCUCUGAGCAUUACUCUGGAACAUGUUUGACAAAAGUUGGGAGUCAUUAUGCGCAAAAUGUAAGAAAAAAAGCACAAUAUUUUUCUUUUUUUACUGUCAGAUUGUUCAGGAGGUUUCAACAGUUCCUUUAUAAUUGUUCUUGUUGAUCGAGGCAAAGUUGGUAUGCUGUAACUCUUCUUCAUCCAUGGAGCAAGAACAUCUUUACUUACUUCACAUAGUAGCUAUAUUGCGAACGUUUUCCUCGAUGAUGCCUUUUCAGAUUUUAUAUUAUGUAAGUAGAUAACAUGUGCAUGCAUUAAACUGAUAGUUAUCAUGCUGCGAAACGCAGAAAAGAGGCCUUAGCUGAGUUUUCUGCUACAUGACAUCUUGUUGCAUAUCUGAUCCAAUGUGUCUGCAGUGCAUUUUUUGGCUCAGUUAUUUGGCUCUUUAAUAAAUGGAUAAUAUUGCAAGGUGCUGUACUUAUGUUGUUUGAUUUAGGAACAGAUGACCAUUUAUCUUUACCACUCGGCUGAAUUUUACCAGGGUAAAUAACACAUUUUUCAUGACUCAAUAAAUUUCAGAAUUUUUUAACUUUUUAAGCAUUUUUUUUUAAGCUCCGUAUUUCAAAUUUAAUUUUUCAACUUGUUUUAGCAUUUUCUUUUUUAGGUCCAUAUUUCAAAUGAAAAUUUUCAUCAUCCAGGGUUUGUUUUUAAAACAUUGUUUCUUCUUCAUUUUUAUUGUUGAGUGAUAAUUCCUCAUUUCCAUCUUUGUCGCCAUCUGUUAAUUCGUGAUUUUCAACCUCAGCAAAAUCUUUCUCUGAUUCAUCCUAAGAAAUAGAAUUUUCUUCAUCACUCUUGGGUAGCCUCAAGUCUACCCCAAAAAUUUCUCCCUGAAAACUCUUUGACUUCUUCAAGGCAACGCAGAAUUGAACUUAAAUCAGAUUCUGAAAUGAAACGUUACAGCUAACCAUUCGUCUGUGAGACGAAUAUUGUUCUAAAAAUACUAUAUGCGAAAAUAUGUCUGUAAGAAGGAGUGUCCUAAUCUAUAGCAGCCAAUAUCAUAUAAAGGUACUGAGUCUCGCAUCCCAAUUCCUGUUUUAGGGAAGGCCGGGCAAGGUUAAAUGUUAUGGGCUUCGUCCAGGAGACAAAUGGGUAGCAUUCUAGGGUUAAGCAAGAAGGUGGAGGCAUAAUGGUUUGAAGAUGUUUUGCUGCUUCUGGGAUGGAAAAUUUAGCUUUUGUAGAAAAUAAUAUGGAUCUAUGUAAAUGUACAAAUAUUCUUAAAAAAAAAAAAAAAAAAAAAAAAAAAAAAAAAAAAAAAAAAAAAAAACUGAAA